UACCAGACUCCUACGGGAGGCAGCAGUGAGGAAUAUUGGUCAAUGGGAGGAAUCCUGAACCAGCCAUGCCGCGUGCAGGACGACGGCUCUACGAGUUGUAAACUGCUUUUGUACCGGGGUAAAAUGCCUUACGAGUAGGGUUUUGAAAGUACGGUACGAAUAAGGAUCGGCUAACUCCGUGCCAGCAGCCGCGGUAAUACGGAGGAUCCGAGCGUUAUCCGGAUUCAUUGGGUUUAAAGGGUGCGUAGGUUGUUUUAUAAGUUAGCGGUGAAAUACCGAUGCUCAACAUCGGGGCUGCCGCUAAUACUGUAGGACUAGAGAUCGGAUGCAGCAGGCGGAAUGUGUAGUGUAGCGGUGAAAUGCAUAGAUAUCACGAAGAACCCCGAUUGCGAAGGCAGCCUGCCGCAGCGUUACUGACGCUGAAGCUCGAAAGCGCGGGUAUCGAACAGGAUUAGAUACCCUUGUA
rnacentral:rRNA from 1 species